rnacentral:rRNA from 1 species
AUUGAACGCUGGCGGCAUGCUUUACACAUGCAAGUCGAACGGCAGCAUGGGUGCUUGCACCUGAUGGCGAGUGGCGAACGGGUGAGUAAUGUAUCGGAACGUAUCCGGAAAUGGGGGAUAACGUAGCGAAAGUUACGCUAAUACCGCCUAUGCCCUGAGGGGGAAAGGUGGGGAUCGCAAGACCUAUCGUAUUCGGAGCGGCCGAUAUCAGAUGAGCUUGUUGGUGAGGUAAAGGCUCACCAAGGCGACGAACUGUAGCUGGUCUGAGAGGACGACCAGCCACACUGGGACUGAGACACGGCCCAGACUCCUACGGGAGGCAGCAGUGGGGAAUUUUGGACAAUGGGGGCAACCCUGAUGCAGCCAUGCCGCGUGAGUGAAGUAGGCCUUCGGGUUGUAAAGCUCUUUCGGACAUAAAGAAAUCGCACUUACUAAUACUAGGUGUGGAUGACGGUACUGUAAGAAGAAGCACCGGCUAACUACGUGCCAGCAGCCGCGGUAA